rnacentral:lncRNA from 1 species
GCACAUGAGGACUGGGGAGUAAGUGUUCAAAUGUCCAGUUCGUGCAAGCGUUUUACCUUGAUUAGCAGUUUAUACAAACGCUUUAAGUCGUGCACAGGAGAAAGAUGAUUCAAGAAAUUGCAUUCUACACCAACUACAACUAAUUCGCCUACAGUUUAUGAAAUGAUGAGGCAAGGCAAGGCAACUUUAUUUAUACCGUGCAUUUCAUACACAAGGUAACUCAAUGUGCCUAUGAGUGAGUGAAGUGUUCUUUAAACCACGACCAAAUUAAGAGAAUGAUGACAGAACAGUGGUGCCAAAUUGUGGCAUAUGGCCCAAAAAUAUUGUCUAUGAAACUAAUAUUAUUCUGUGGAAAGCAGUUGUCACUGGAAGGGUCGGGGGUAGGGCCGUAGGGGGACCCAUGUGAAAAGUUCUUGUCCCGGGUCAACUGGCCAUGGGUUAAAGAAAGUGUCUUUCUGCAUUUGGUUUGGACAUUCAUUUUGUACAGCAUAAACCACUGUAUUUUCUAUGCUUAGAAUUCUAAUGAUAUUGCCCAAAUAAAAGAAAGAGUCGAGUGUAUUAUUGUGUUAUAGAAACCUCUGAGCGCUAGAGGGCAGUGUGAGCGUGUAUGAGCAGAGAGAAGAAGACCAAAAGCAUAAACAAACAUGGCUGCCGUGCGGUGUUAGCUCCGAACAGAAUCGACCCUCAGAGCCUCAAAGUUUCUCUUUAAAGAGGCAGAGCCACUGAAACAUGGCCCAGGUGAAGCUGGAGGAGGAGCAAGGUGUCCAGAUUUUCCAAGACAACAGUUCAGUCCUUCAUUUCAAGAAAGAAGAACCAGAGGAAGUGGAAAUCAAAGCAGAGCCACAAGAGUUCCCACUGAUAACUGUGUGUGUGAAGAGUGAAGAGGAGGAGCCAGAGUCUUCUCUCCUUCAUCAAACAGUGAAAGAGGAGACCAGAGAGGACGCUGAUGGAGCAGGUUCAGACAAACAUCCAGAGAGUGAAGAUCAUGGAGAGAGUUCUUCUGACACUGACGACUCUGCAGACUGGACUCCUUCAGCUGAAAGGCCCACUCCACAAACUCACACUGAGGUCAACAAACAGCUGCAAGGACCAGCUCACAGGAUCAUGUUAGUAAAGAUGGAAGUGACACUGUAG